UCUAGCUCCGAUUUUUCGACUCCCCUCCGUUGGCCCCUGGGACACCUUCCCCGGCUCCAGGUUCAUCACACGGAUGGGAAUCCGAAAACCGGAUCUGGUGGAC
rfam:Actinobacterium acMicro-4 AMD-COM-C18, whole genome shotgun sequence.